GACGAACGCUGGCGGCGUGCUUAACACAUGCAAGUCGAACGGUAAGGCUCCAGCUUGCUGGGGUACACGAGUGGCGAACGGGUGAGUAACACGUGGGUGACCUGCCCUGCACUUCGGGAUAAGCCUGGGAAACUGGGUCUAAUACCGGAUAGGACCAUGGUGUGGAUACUGUGGUGGAAAGUUUUUUCGGUUUGGGAUGGGCCCGCGGCCUAUCAGCUUGUUGGUGGGGUAAUGGCCUACCAAGGCGGCGACGGGUAGCCGGCCUGAGAGGGUGGACGGCCACAUUGGGACUGAGACACGGCCCAGACGCCUACGGGAGGCAGCAGUGGGGAAUAUUGCACAAUGGGCGGAAGCCUGAUGCAGCGACGCCGCGUGGGGGAUGACGGCCUUCGGGUUGUAAACUCCUUUCACCAUCGACGAAGGGUUUCUGACGGUAGAUGGAGAAGAAGCACCGGCUAACUACGUG
rnacentral:rRNA from 1 species